GACGAACGCUGGCGGCGUGCUUAACACAUGCAAGUCGAACGAAGUGGCGAACGGGUGAGUAACGCGUAAUCCACCUGCCCUUCAGCGGGGGACAACAGUUGGAAACGACUGCUACUACCGCAUACUGAAGGAGGGGAUUGCGUCUGAUUAGCUAGUUGGCGGGGUAACGGCCCACCAAGGCGAUGAUCAGUAGCCGGUCUGAGAGGAUGAACGGCCACAGUUGGACUGAGACACGGCCCAGACGCCUACGGGAGGCAGCAGUGGGGAUUCUUCCGCAAGGGACGAAAGUCUGACGGAGCAACGCCGCGUGAGUGAUGACGGCCUUCGGGUUGGAAAGCUCUGUUAAUCGGGACGCGGUACCGGAAUAGAAAGCCACGGCUAACUACGUGCCAGCAGCCGCGGUAAUUC
rnacentral:rRNA from 1 species